UGGGAAGGAUGAGUUUGAUUCUUGUUAUACCAUAUCAGGAUGCUUGUCAGGGGUGUUUGUGCCUUGUAAACAUUUGCACUGUAGAUGUGCCUGGAUUCCAUAUCCUUUAAGAUGACUUUCAGUCAAAAGUUAUACCAAUCUAGGAUCUAGAUAUAGGAUUCUAGGACUUUUCAAAAUUUGAAGGGGAAAAUUCAGGGUGCCCAGCUGGCUCAAUCAGAGGAACGUAUGACUCUUGAACUUAGGGUUGAGUUCUAGCCCCAAGUUGGGUGAAGAGAUUACAUAAAUAAAUAACCUUUUUUAAAAAAUAGAAGGGAUGGGACACCUGGGUGGCUCAAUGGUUGAGUGUCUGCUUUCGGCUCAGGGCAAAGGGUCAAAAGGUCCUGGGAUGAGUCCCCCAUCAGGGUCCCCACAGAGAGCCUGCUUCUCCCUCUGCCUGUAUCUCUGCCUCUCUCUCUGUGUCUCAUGGAUAAAUAAAUAAAAUCUUUAGAAAUAUAUAUAAAGAUUUUAUUUAUUCAUGAGAGAGGCAGAGGGAGAAGCAGGGAGCCCGACGUGGGACUCAAUCGUGACUUCAGGAUCACGCCCUGGGCCGAAGGCAGGUGCCAAACCGCCAAGCCACCCAGGGAUCCCUAUAGAAGGGAUUUUUUUUUUUUUAAAGAUUUUAUUUUAUUUACUCAUGAGACACCAAGAGAGGCAGAGACAGAGACACAGGCAGAGGGAGAAGCAGGCUCCAUGCAGGGAGCCUGAUGUGAGACUCCACCCCAGGUCUCCAGGAUCACGCCCUGGGCUGAAGGUGGCGCUAAACCGCAGGCUGCCCUAGAAGGGAUUUUAAAGGCUAUAAAACCCCAAAUACUUUUAGAUCUGAGAAAGAAUAUGGCCUGUAAUUGAGAAAGCAAAAAGCAGGUAUGACAGUUGUGGUCAGCAUCAGACAAGACCAUUCUGUGAUUGUAAUGGAGUGAGACAAAAUAGAUAGGUCCCCUGUGUAAUCAUGUUACAGCACAGACAAAAAUACAAGACCCACAUGCAAACCACAAAAAUGACUAUACAUCCCUGUUUCGGCUAACUGCUUCUUGACCAAUUAAAAUUUUAACCCACUUUGUUCUGCUUCCUAAUAAAAAUUGGAAUAUCUGAUCAUACAACAGUCGCCUGAUUUCCAACAGCAUUCAUCCAGAGCAACCUUUCUUUCUUUGACCCUCUCUGAAAGCACCAACACAAACUGAAAUCCUGUAAAUUCCUCCCACACCCUCUCACUGAGACACCCCACCUCCCAGCCUCCCCACGGCAUGUGGAGUCCAUACUGCUGUAACAAGUACCAUCAAAUUCAGUUUAUUUUGGCCACAGGUCAGCUUUGGCUG
rnacentral:lncRNA from 1 species